ACUAGCGCAUGCGCCCAGAACCUCGAACGUGGACGCGCGUUUUCCAGUCUUCCCUUACGCCCGCCCAGCCACGCCCUCUUUGUUUCCGGGUUGGAAUUCUGAAGCCGCCUAGGUUAAAGAUUUGGAGCGGAGGGAUCAAGAGUUGGGAGGGGACAAGUCUCCCGAAGUUGUUAGUCCUGUGUUGCUGACGAGCGACCUUCACAACCCAGCAAGCUCUCCCAGGCCGUUAAAAAGCCUGGCCACAGCCUGAAUUUGAGAAAAUGAAGAACUUUUCUCCUGGAAACCAUUGUUUGGGAAGCUCUCAGGAAUUGAAGCAAAGUGGUAUGCGUUAGGGCCUGCUUUCUGAGGGCUCGGCCCUGAACCCCGGACCUUAGAUGGGCAGCUCCACCCUGACUCACAAGAUCAGAUGAAGAGGAGUCUGUUUGGAGGAGUUCCUGGGUAGAUUUCAGAGACCACUUGGCCUUGGGAGAGACGGAGGCUGGUGGGAAGGCAAGGAAGCAAGAGCAUUGCUGAAAUGGAAAAUCCUAGAAGAAAAAAAAAGUCUUAGUAGAAAAAAGAAGGUCUGUGCAGAUGUGACCAGAUGGGAAGAACCGGUUGCCAUAGGUGAACCCAUCACACAGCAAGGUCGGCACAGAGAGCAGCCAGGUUCCAGGGUUUGCUUCCCAGAGCCAGGGUAAGUGUGUGCUUGUCUUCAAGAUACGAGGACUUCUGACAGUACUUCAGGUGUCCGUCCGAGCUCUCACAACGAUAAAACACCGUCUCUCUCUUGUUUGCAUGCUCAAAUCCCUACACCAGCCUGAAGACAGCAAAUAUGACUUUAUUUAUUUACGUAGUCCCUACAU